GAAUUUUCUGUACCGGUACCCACUCCUAAUAAUAUGUUUUCUUCUUUGCAAGGCCCAACGAGUGCAGUCUAUAUCGGACUGGAGUUCGGUGGAAGGUGGACAGAUGGAUCCCGGCUUUCCUACACCAACUGGGCUUCCGGUGAACCUAACGGCAAAUCAUACAUGUCUCUGUCACCUUCUUGUGCCGUCAUAUACUCCAAGAAGGACAAGUUCUGGGUCGGUGGGCCUUACAGGAAUAAAGGAGAAUGGACGGACAUGCGAUGUGAUUACUUACUGUCUUACAUUUGCAAGGCUCCAAAAUAAGAGCAUUUAUAGAGUCGUUUGUGGUCAUUUGUGGUGUUAAGGCAGACCCGUAGGGACCUCAAAAAUGUAGACAACUUUAGUCAGUUUAACUUAAGUGUAGAACGUCGCGUUUUAGGAAUACAACGUUGCCAUAUUGUGUCGAGAUUUUAACCUCCUGUAUAUGUUAUACUUUAAAUGUUACAUUUUAACAUUUCUCAAUAUCUGUUAUAUUGAUAUCAGAAAUGCAUUUCUCUUUUGUACAUUGUGCGAGGCAAUUUAGUUUUCGGACUUCUUUCUUGUGCUUGAAAUUGUGUGUUCCAGUUCUCUCUCUAUCAAUGUCUAAGGCAUACAGGUGGCACUUACAGUGCACGUGACCAAACAAACUUAAGACAAUUUUAGAAGGAUAUGAGAGAUAGAAGUACAUGCCUUCUUGUUGAUGCUUUGCAGAGAUGGAGUUGCAGAUGCUUUAACAAUGCCUGAUGUAGUAUUCAUGCUGGCUGUACUAUUACAUUUAACUAAAGGCAAGACUUUUAUUAAGUAGCAGAACAAUGUAUUUGUCGUAUGAGGAUGUAUAUGUUGACGUCCCUAAACUGAGGAGGUUUGACGGCUAGAUCGAAAGUUGUAGCAGCGUGUAUAAGGAAUAUACAAAAACAAGUCUAAAGCUAUUUCCAUGACAUAAAGAAUCACAUCAGCACAAAGAGAGAAAAAUAUAACAACUUUUAACAGUAUAUGUCUAUUUAAUAUGAUUGCAUAGUUUCUAAUAUAGAAAGCGUAUGAACUUUACGUAGUGAUUACCUGCACAUGUAUCAUAACACCAAAUGUGACAAUAAAACCAAUGCAAUAUCACACAGAUGACAAAAUGUUAGUGUCUAUACAACCGAUAAGCUAUUUUCUGACAUGUCGAAAGGAAAGCAAUCUGCAUAGUUGUAAAAAAAAGUAAGAGAUCUUAAACAGAAGCACACAAUUGCUCUUGUUUUAUGAUAUAGGUUCUUAGUACUAGUAGGUGACAAGAAGUUGUAAGGCAGUUUAGUAUGCUAUUCAUGUUAAUUCGUUUGCUUCAAAGACAUCACUGAUAGAUUGUAGUAAACUAAGAAUGGAAUGAUAAAUGCUAUAUACAGUGUAAGUU